rnacentral:rRNA from 1 species
UACGUAGGGGGCAAGCGUUGUCCGGAUUUAUUGGGCGUAAAGCGCGUGUAGGCGGCCAUGCAGGUCCGCUGUGAAAACUGGAGGCUCAACCUCCAGAGGUCGGUGGAAACCGCAUGGCUAGAGUCCGGAAGAGGAGACUGGAAUUCCCGGUGUAGCGGUGAAAUGCGCAGAUAUCGGGAAGAACACCCGUGGCGAAGGCGGGUCUCUGGGACGGUACUGACGCUGAGACGCGAAAGCGUGGGGAGCGAACAGGAUUAGAAACCCUCGUAGUCC